rnacentral:lncRNA from 1 species
UUUAAAGUCUGAUAAAUUUUUCUAAAUAUAUUAACUAUUCUAAAUCUCUGUUUCUUGUUUUCCAGACAGUUCAAUUGAAAAGUCAGCUUUGGCUAGGCAUGGUGGCUCACGCCUGUAAUCCCAGCACUUUGGGAGGCUGAGGCGGGUGGAUCACGAGGUCAAGAGAUCGAGACCAUCCUGGUCAAACAAGCUGGAUACGUGUCCCCUUCCUGUAGUCCCGGAUACUCAAGAGGCUGAGGCUGGUCUUCUUCAACUCCUGGACUGAAGCAAUCUGCCCACCUUAGCUUCCCAAAGUGCUAGGAUUACAGGCGUGAGACUCCAUGCCUGGCUGGUAAUAAACUUUUUCAUUAUGUGAUACUUUAUGGUCCUCUAGGAACCAAAUUUCUUUUAGGAUUUGUAAAAAAGUAGGAUUAGAUUGGCUCUUCUGUGUUUUAAACAAGAUCUAUUGAAUCCAAGAGAAAAUUCUUACUAACCAACAUAAAUUAAACAACUAUAAAACAGACAAGCCACAUUGGUUACUCUCAUAGUUUACUUGAUAAAAUCAAAUAGGCAAG